rnacentral:rRNA from 1 species
GAUGAACGCUAGCGGCAUGCCUAAUACAUGCAAGUCGAACGGUGUAGCAAUACACAGUGGCGCACGGGUGCGUAACACGUAUGCAACCUACCUUACAUUGGGGGAUAGCCUUUCGAAAGGGAGAUUAAUACCGCAUAAGACAGUAACUAGGCAUCUAGUAGCUGUUAAAGAUUUAUCGAUGUAAGCUGGGCAUGCGUCCAAUUAGUUAGUUGGUGAGGUAACGGCUCACCAAGACGAUGAUUGGUAGGGGAACUGAGAGGUCAAUCCCCCACACUGGCACUGAGAUACGGGCCAGACUCCUAUGGGAGGCAGCAGUAGGGAAUAUUGGGCAAUGGGCGCAAGCCUGACCCAGCCAUGCCGCGUGCAGGAAGAAGGCGUUAUGCGUUGUAAACUGCUUUUAUACAGGAAGAAACGACCCUUGCGAGGGGCAUUGACGGUACUGUAUGAAUAAGCACCGGCUAACUCCGUGCCAGCCGCCGCAGUAAAAC